rnacentral:miRNA from 1 species
GGUAAGCUGCUGGCAUGGUAACAUGUAGGACAGGGUAGACUGGCAGCUUGUGAUGAGGAUGUCUCCCACUCAU